AAUGAACGCUGGCGGCGUGGAUUAGGCAUGCAAGUCGAACGGGGUAGCAAUACCCAGUGGCGACCUGGACAGUACAAGUUGGGUAACUUGCCCGAAAGUGGGGAACAACGUCCCGAAAGGGGCGCUAAUACCGCAUGUGGUCACGGGGUCCUCGGACUCUUUGACUAAAGCAGCAAUGCGCUUUCGGAUGGGCCCGACUCCCAUUAGCUAGUUGGCGAGGUAAUAGCUCACCAAGGCUACGAUGGGUAGGUGGUCUGAGAGGAUGGACACCGUCACGAGGACUGAGAUACGGCCUCGACUCCUACGGGGGGCAGCAGUCUAGAAGCUUCGGCAAUGGGCGAAAGCCUGACCGAGCGACGCCGCGUGGAGGAUGAAGGUCUUCGGAUUGUAAACUCCUUUCGGCGGGAAAGAACGUCUGGGUGGCGAACUCAGGCUUGACUGACCCGCGGAAGAAGCCCCGGCUAAACUCUGUGCCAGCAGCCGCGG
rnacentral:rRNA from 1 species